rnacentral:lncRNA from 1 species
UUUUUUUUUUCAUUUGUUGGCUGUACAGAUCCACCCAAGCAAGUGUACCACCAUCCACCAAGGCCUGUUUACCACCAACCACGACCUUACGGACGUUGAACCAGUCCAUAAGGUCUAUGGCGGUACCUCGGCCUCUGAGAAGAUUUUUUGCUGUUUGCGACCACAUUUCGAAAGCAAUAAAAUCCUUUUUAAAAUCGCA